rnacentral:rRNA from 1 species
UACGGAGGGAGCUAGCGUUGUUCGGAAUUACUGGGCGUAAAGCGCGCGUAGGCGGCUUUGUAAGUUAGAGGUGAAAGCCCGGAGCUCAACUCCGGAACUGCCUUUAAGACUGCAUCGCUUGAAUCCGGGAGAGGUGAGUGGAAUUCCUGGUGUAGCGGUGAAAUGCGCAGAUAUCAGGAAGAACACCAAUGGCGAAAGCAGCUCUCUGGGACGGUACUGACGCUGAGACGCGAAAGCGUGGGGAGCGAACAGG